GAUAAGCACAGACCAUUGGACCCUAGAAACUUCAUCAAUGUGCUAGGCAUCUGAAAUUUAACAGGAUUUGUCCAGUAUCUUCUGACAUGGAUAUAUCUUAAGUGCAUAACACCUUAGUAAGUGGCUGCAGUCCCCUUUGGAGAAAUAUUUGAGGAAGAUUCACAUUAUACACGUGGAGAAACAUAGCAGGAUCCUUCUUCAAGGAGGGCCAGUCUCACCCACGGCUGAGAGAUUGUGGAUAUGUGAAUCGGUUUUGGUUUUGGGAUUAAGUAAAAAGUUGAAAAUCCUCACUGCAGAGACUCAAGUCAUAUUUCUGGCCAGUAGUCUUAGAAUUUUUACUAUAUAUAUAAAGCAGCACCCUAGUAGAUUACUUUGUGUUUAGGGAUAUUGUGGUCAAUUAACCAACUUCAGAGAUCCCUGAGAGUUAGAGUGUUUUUGUGACCACUCCAUCCCUGUGUUUAUCCUGUUACCUGUACCCACUCUGUGUCUAAUGGUGAAGAGCUGCCACCUAGCUUAUGCUGUGUGGGAUCCCAUUAACCCAUCAAGAUCAGGAAAUCCAGUUCCCAAAUCUCCAGCCCACAGGAUACAGACAACACAACAUGCUUUAAGGAUGCUUCUGCUCCUCUCACUAGUGAAUGUGUUAAUGCCUUGGUGAAGGGCAUGUCUCCAGGGUCUCCUAUGAGGAUAUGGUUAGAGGCAGGCUACAAGACGGCACAUGGUAGACACAUUGUCACAUUUCCGUCUCCCUGAACCUUCAGACUCCCUUCUCUGAAACAUAUCAAGGAAGUUCCAGUAUUUAAACCCCAUUAACUCACAUGCUUUGAGUCUGAGUUUCAAUUAUCCAAUCUAGGAGACACGAAUGCCCAAGGUACAUGGCUUAACCAACACAUUAAGUCCCAAAUCCUAGAAGGAUGCUCCAGUGUUCAUGAACUUGGCCCAUUAGAAAUUGCUAUUCUCUCCUACUUGCACAAACACCCUUAAAAUUCAGUCCCACACUGCUGUCCCAGCCUUGAAAUUCUUCUGGUGAAUAAGUUCUUUCUUGUACAAAUAGCCUUCUGCUCCUCAAUUCUUGCUCUGUUGGGUCUGGUGACAGGCCUGGAGACAGGGAGGUGUGCUGGGAGUGAGCCCUGGGAUAAUCAACUUCAGCUUCUGACGCAGCUGCCCCUCUGAUGCAACAAAACCGCUAACAGUGAGGUGCUAUGAUAAAGGGCAUGAGCUUUGGAGUCAGACUCUCCUGGAUCCAAAUCCAGCUAUAAUAUG